rnacentral:lncRNA from 1 species
GGGUUUUGGUAUCCCUGACUGAAUACUGAUUUGCUCACAGGUCUCCUCCAAUCUCCCUCUCCCACUUUCGUCUUUCUGGGGUCUCUGUUUCAUCCUCUGUCCUCUAUGGCUUUUGUGGGCAUUCAGUUCCAACCGUUGCCCAAGGAAGGAUGAACCCAUCCUCCACCCCCAGUUUUGUUUGUUUGUUUGUUUGUUUUUUGAGAUGGGAUAUCAUUAUGGGGUCCCUGGCUGUCCUGGAAUUAGUGCUGGGAUUAAAGGUGUGUGCCUCCACACCCUGCUGUCAGACGCAUCUCUGUCAUGAACACAUACAUCACCAAAGAUGUUUUUAAAAAAAUUAUCACUGGACAUUGACCUGCUGAGGUAGUGUUUGCCUGUAUCUCCAUCAUCUGAAAGAUGGAGGCGAGGACAAUCAGUUGUUCCUUUGCUACAGAUGGAGUUUGAGGCUAACCUGGGAUACAGGAAGUGCUGUGUCAAAACAACAACAAAAACCCAAACCACCUCCACUCUCCAGAAACCGCCAGCUCUUCGUAGACUAACAAUUUUAAUUUUGCUCACUGUAGCGCGUUAUUCUAUGUGGACAGGUAGCUCUCCCCCAUUUUAUAGUCCCACUCUUAGCCUCAUGGUCCACCCUUCACCUGUGUGAGCAUACGCUGAGAGUUUGUUAAAAUCCACAUUGCUGCCAGGAGUGAUGGGACACAUUUGUAAUCCUAGCACUUGGGAGGCAGGGGUGGGAGGAUUAGCACAAGUUCAAAGCCAGCCAAGACUACACAGAAAUGGACCUUGUCUUACGGUUUUAUUGCUGUGAAGAGACACUAUGACCAAGGCAACUCUUACAAAGGAAAACAUUUAAUUGGGGCUGGCUUACAGCGUCAGAGGUUUAGUCUGUUACCACCAAGGCGGGAAGCAUGGCAGUGGGCAGGCAGGCAUGGUGCUAUAGGAACGGUGAGUUCUACAUCUUGAUCCACAGGCAGCUGAAAGAGACUCUAGUUGGCAGGCAGCCAGGAGGAUGCUCUGAUUCCACCCUGGGCGGAGCUUGAGCACAGGAGACCUCAAAGCCCGCCCACACAGUGAUGCAUUUCCUCCAACAAGGCCACACCUCCUAAGUGCCACUCUCCAUGGUCAAACAUUGAAACACCUGAAUCUAUGGGGGUGAGGGGGGAGGCAAAUCUAUUCAAACCACCAUAGACCCUGUCAUAAAAAAUUAAACAAACAAACAAACAAACAAACAAAUCCAUAUCAUUGGUCUCACUAAGGGAGUUUUCAACUUCAACUCUGGAAGUCUUGGCCAGGGCCUGAGGAUGAAGAUUUCUAGCAAGUUCCCAGGCGUUGCUGGUCCAGCUGUAUGGAGGAGGCCUAACGUUGGGAACCACACAGCGGCAGAAGGCAACCUUCUCUUGCUUGCCUCGAUAUGCGAUUGGCACCGUUUACUUAUUCAGAUUCAUUUAAACGCCAGGCUGGGGGCCUGGAGAGUUGGCUCAGGGAUUAAGAUCUUCUACAGGGCCCACAUUUGAUUCACACAAACCCACAUGGUGGCUUCUAACUCCAACUCUAUUGGAUCUGAUGCCGCCUUCUGGCUUCUGUGGGCAUCAGGCACAUACUGUGGUGCACAGACAGUCAUACAGAUAAAAUACUCAUACACAUAAAAAUAAAAUGUAAACGAACAGGCUGGGUGAUGGGGUCCCCAGAGCUCUGUUGGACACCUGGAAUAAACAAAGGAAACAGAGGAAUUUUGAUGAUCGCUUCCCAGUCUCUGCUAGGCUCAGUAAAUCCACAAAGAUCAUCCUUUUGUGACAAGCUCUCUUUAUGCCCAAAGCCAGGCAAC